rnacentral:lncRNA from 1 species
UGAUUUUCAACUCCGUGGAAGCAAAAUCUGACUUUCUGUUCCUAUUUUUAAUAGGACUUGUCAACACAUUUUAAAAUGUAAUAGGAAGAAAGAAUGUUUAUGGAGCUCCAACUGCAUGAGGCACUGUGUCUGUGAGGUAGAUAUUAUUGCCUGCACUGUGAAGAUGAGGAAACUGAGUCCCACAGAAUGUAUGCACUGUGAAAUGAUGACUCCACCCCUCAUUUCUACGAGCAUUCCGGGAACUUGGCGAGGAUUUACUCAGUUACUGCUGCAAGCACCAUGCAGGCAAGACUUUUUUUUAAUUAACAAGUUAUGUAAAUUCCUGAGCUGGUAGUUCAGAGAAGUUGGACUAUGAAUUCUUGUACGUGUUGUU